ensembl:lncRNA
ACAAAGCCAAGUUGGCAUGGUAAUGGGAAUGGAUAUAUUGAGUAAAUUGGAAGCAGAUGUUUUGCUGACUAGGGGUCAAUUAAUUAGUCAGUAUUUACCAAUUCCCAUACCAGUGUUUAAUAAAACUGGAAUUCCUUAAUUAAGCCUUGGAGCUAUCACAGCUAAUGAAAAGGAGUCUACUGAUUCCUCAGUGAUACAAUAUUUCUCUGAGAAAUUUCCAAAAUUGUGGUCAACUUCUAAACUUGAUGUUGGUCUUUGCAGGAUUAAACCUUUGAAUGUUUCAGAUCCUAUACAUCCUCCAGUAUUCCAGUAUCCUCUUCGGAGAGAAGCAGAGAGAGCUGCACAGGAAAUUGUGAACCAGCUUCAGGAAUCAGGGAUAUUGAUGCCCUGUUUGAUGGCCUUGGACUGUGCUGAGUGGGCGUUGAAGGUCACUGAGGCCAUCGUCUGUUACAAUCAGAUGAUCCUUCACUCUCCACAUCGUUUUCUACGCAUGCUCGCAGAGACAAAAAUAAAGUCGAUUUCAAAUCAACGACGUGCAAAAUGGGAAACUGCUCUCAUGAACCCUCAGCUCACUGUUGUUGCAGACAACCGGACAAAUUCUGCCUCCCUAAUGGAGAAUGAGGGGAGUGCACAUGACUGCGCCGAGGUAAUUAUCUGUGACAGGGGACAUUUUGUCAGAGAUGAACCGUUUUCAGAUUCUCUGGACAUGUUCGUGGAUGGCAGCAGUUUCUACGAGGGUGACACACGCUACACGGGGUGGGUGGUAGUAGAGGGGAAGACGGG